GACGAACGCUGGCGGCGUGCUUAACACAUGCAAGUCGAACGGAAAGGCCCCUUUGGGGGUACUCGAGUGGCGAACGGGUGAGUAACACGUGAGUAACCUGCCCUUGACUUCGGGAUAACUUCAGGAAACUGGGGCUAAUACCGGAUAGGAAUCCUUGCUGCAUGGUGGGGGUUGGAAAGCUUCGGAGGUUUUGGGUGGACCGGCGGCUUAUAAGCUUGUCGGUGGGGUAGUGGCUUACCAAGGCUUUGACGGGUAGCCGGCCUGAGAGGGCGACCGGCCACAUUGGGACUGAGAUACGGCCCAGACUCCUACGGGAGGCAGCAGUGGGGAAUAUUGCACAAGGAGCGGAGGCCUGGUGCAGCAACGCCGCGGGCGGGAUGACGGCCUUCGGGUUGUAAACCGCUUUCAGCAGGGGCGAAGCUUGUGGUGACGGUACCUGCAGAAGAAGCACCGGCUAACUACGUG
rnacentral:rRNA from 1 species